rnacentral:rRNA from 1 species
CCUACGGGAGGCAGCAGUGGGGAAUAUUGGGCAAUGGGCGCAAGCCUGACCCAGCAACGCCGCGUGAAGGAAGAAGGCUUUCGGGUUGUAAACUUCUUUUCUCAGGGACGAAGAAAGUGACGGUAACUGAGGAAUAAGCCACGGCUAACUACGUGCCAGCAGCCGCGGUAAUACGUAGGUGGAAAGCGUUAUCCGGAUUUACUGGGUGUAAGGGCGUGGAGGCGGGAAAGCAAGUCAGAUGUGAAAACCACGGGCUAAACCUGUGGCCUGCAUUUGAAACUGUUUUUCUUGAGUACUGGAGAGGCAGACGGAAUUCCUAGUGUAGCGGUGAAAGGCGUAGAUAUUAGGAGGAACACCAGUGGCGAAGGCGGUCUGCUGGACAGCAACUGACGCUGAGGCGCGAAAGCGUGGGGAGCAAACAGGAUUAGAUACCCGAGUAGUC